rnacentral:lncRNA from 1 species
UUCAGAGAAACCAACAACCACCUCUGCUCCUUCAACCACCUCUGAUCCUCCUCCUCCUCCUCCUCCUCCUCUCUAUAUCUGGUUACCUGCUGUGUGUGUUGGUGUUCUGGUUCUGCUGGUUCUGGUUCUUCUGGUUGGACGACGUGUUCUCAGGAAGUCUGAAGGUGAGGUUCAGUUUUAAACGUCAGAGCAAAAACUGAUAAAGACAGAGAAAUGUAAAUAUUUCAUGUUUUUUCAAUCAGCUGAUGGACCACCAGAUGUUACAUACGCUGACAUCAACAUCAAGCUCCACCCCCAGCAGCCAAUCAGACGCAGUACAGAUGGAGAUCCAGCUCCAGGUUCUACUGGAGACCAGACGUUUGGACAGAAGACCAUCAGAGAACGAUCCGACAGGAAACACCUGACAGGUACACUUCCUGUUCAGAUGGUUGUCUGUGGUUGCUAUGGUUACAGUGUUCCUGUAGAUUUCCUCCAAUCAGGAUCUGAGAGGUUUUCUGCUAAACUUCACGACUCAGUUUGAUGGACAAGA